CGAAAUGCGAUAAGUAAUGUGAAUUGCAGAAUUCAGUGAAUCAUCGAAUCUUUGAACGCACCUUGCGCUCCUUGGUAUUCCUUGGAGCAUGCCUGUUUGAGUAUCAUGAAAUCUUCAAAGUAAAUCUUUUGUUAACUCAAUUGUUUUCUACUUUGGUAUUGGAGGUCUUUGCAGCUUCACACCUGCUCCUCUUUGUUCAUUAGCUGGAUCUCAGUGUUAUGCUUGGUUCCACUCGGCGUGAUAAGUUAUCUAUCGCUGAGGACACUGUAAAAGGUGGCCAAGGUAAAUGCAGAUGAACCGCUUCUAAUAGUCCAUUGACUUGGACAAUACUUUUAUGAUCUGAUCUCAAAUCAGGUAGGACUACCCGCUGAACUUAAGC
rnacentral:misc_RNA from 1 species